rnacentral:rRNA from 1 species
UAGGGAAUCUUCCACAAUGGGCGCAAGCCUGAUGGAGCAACACCGCGUGAGUGAAGAAGGGUUUCGGCUCGCAAAGCUCUGUUGUUAAAGAAGAACACGUAUGAGAGUAACUGUUCAUACGUUGACGGUAUUUAACCAGAAAGUCACGGCUAACUACGUGCCAGCAGCCGCGGUAAUACGUAGGUGGCAAGCGUUAUCCGGAUUUAUUGGGCGUAAAGAGAGUGCAGGCGGUUUUCUAAGUCUGAUGUGAAAGCCUUCGGCUUAACCGGAGAAGUGCAUCGGAAACUGGAUAACUUGAGUGCAGAAGAGGGUAGUGGAACUCCAUGUGUAGCGGUGGAAUGCGUAGAUAUAUGGAAGAACACCAGUGGCGAAGGCGGCUACCUGGUCUGCAACUGACGCUGAGACUCGAAAGCAUGGGUAGCGAACAGGAUUAGAUACCCUGGUAGUCCAUGCCGUAAACGAUGAGUGCUAGGUGUUGGAGGGUUUCCGCCCUUCAGUGCCGGAGCUAACGCAUUAAGCACUCCGCCUGGGGAGUACGACCGCAAGGUUG